rnacentral:tRNA from 1 species
GCCUGUGUGGAGUAGUGGUUUGAGUGUUGGACUAUGGCUCUGGAGACCAAGGUUCGAUUCCAAGCUCAGCUG